AAGACUAUACUUUCAGGGAUCAUUUCCACAGUUUGUUACUGGAGAAGUUUCUCUGAAUAUGUAGAGUUUUCAAAAAAAAAAAUUAGAUUCAGAACAGCAAAAGACUAAUACAUCUGA
rnacentral:snoRNA from 1 species